GGAAAGACUAGAGGGGGAGAAGGGGAGAGGGGGAGAAGAGGAGAGGGGGAGAAAAGAGGAGAGAGAGAAGAGGAGGAUGGGAGAAGGGGAGAGGAGGUACUGUUUGUCACUGACCGUUCCACUCAGAGGACUCUACCUUCUGUUAUCAAUCCUGCGUCUGUGACACCAGAUUGCCACCUAGUGGCCAUAAGAGGAACUGUCCUGUCAGUGUGUUUUCACUGCUGGCUCAAAACAACACAUGACCUGCAUACAUGAUAUGACUCGUACUACUGCACUACUUCUGAAGAAGACCAGAGUCAUUUCAGAAUGAAGACUGCUAGAGUUCUGAUGGUGUUGCUGUUCUGUCUGUCUGGGGCCUGGACUCAGGGAGAGAGUGGAGGGGUGACUAGUAGGUCUGUCUGUCUGUCUGUCUGUCUGUCUGUCUGUCUGCAGUAUAUACACCAAAUCAACAAAAGUAUGUGGACACCUGCUCGUCAAACAUCUCAUUCCAAAAUCAUGGGCAUUUGCAUGGAGUUGGUCCCCCUUUUUGCUGCUAUAACAGCCUCCGCUCUUCUGGGAAGGCUUUCCACUAGAUUUUGGAACAUUGCUGCUGGGACUUGCUUCCAUUCAGCCACAAGAGCAUUAGUGAGGUCGGACACUGAUGUUGGGCAAUUAGGCCUGGCUCGCAGUCGGCGUUCCACUUCAUCCCAAAGGCGUUCGACGUCGUUGAGGUCAGGGCUUGUGAAGUUCUUCCACACCAAUCUCGACUAACCAUUGUCAUGCUGAAACAGGAAAGGACCUUCCCCAAACUGUUGCCACAAAGUUGGAAGCACAGAUUCCUCUAGAAUGUCAUUGUAUGCUGUAGCGUUAAGAUUUCCCUUCACUGGAACUAAGGGGCCCAAACCAUGAAAAACAACCCCAGACCAUUAUUCCACCAAACAUUACAGUUGACACUAUGCUUUGGGGCAGGUAGCGUUCUCCUGGCAUCCGCCAAACCCAGAUUAGUCUGUCGGAUUGCUAGAAGGUGAAGCAUGAUUCAUUACUCCAG
rnacentral:lncRNA from 1 species